CUAAAUCGCCGAAACCAUAGAGUGCGGGGGAACCAUCUGGAUUCAGUAGAAUCCAAGGGGUGAAUCCUUUACAUAGGUAGGGCUACUCUGGCCCGAAUCCGUCAGCUAACCUCGUAAGCGUUAUAGAGAAA
rnacentral:sRNA from 1 species